AAGAAAUUUUGCUCAUGAUGGAAAUAUAGUUGUUUUCUCUAUUCACCAACCCAAUUUCGAUGUCUUUGAUCGGCUCGAUGAUCUCUUCCUCCUUUCCGGCAGAGAAGCUGUUUAUUUUGGAGAAGCAAAGAUGGCUGCAAAGGUGAGCUAAGCUCAAAUUUUAAUUAUAGUUGAUCAAUAAAAGAAAAAGGUAUAGUAUCAUGUUUGUUAGGAUGUAAAUGAAUGAAAUAUGAUAUCGAAAAAUGAUUUUCCAGUCCAUAUGCAUACUGUCUUAUAUCACAAUUAUUCGCUGAAGCUGCAUUUCCUUGUCCAAGAAAAAAGAAAUCCUCUUGAUCAUUUCCUCCGAUACAUUACUUCUUUCGAAUAGUAGCUGCUUUAAAGUAAACGCAAAGACAAUUUGUACGUUUAAUUUAACAGUUUGUGCUAUGUGUUUCCAACUAAUACUAUAGGUAAUUUGUUUGGAACAUUUUGUCUUCAGGGAUUCCUGAGUCAACAUGACUACAUCAAAGAUCAAGAUAAUGCUUGUCAAGAAAUAACGUGUUUCUACUUAUUCAACAAAAACAAGGAAAAGAUUACAAGGAAUCACGUGCACUAUCUUGCAGGAAGAACAUAUCAAUGAAUCAAACCCAAGUUAUCCCAGCUGGUGGAAGC
rnacentral:misc_RNA from 1 species